GAUGAACGCUGGCGGCGUGCUUAACACAUGCAAGUCGAACGGUGAACGAGGGAGCUUGCUCCCUCCGGAUCAGUGGCGAACGGGUGAGUAACACGUGAGCAAUCUGCCCUGGACUCUGGGAUAAGCGUUGGAAACGACGUCUAAUACCGGAUACGAUGCGCGGGGGCAUCCCCAACGGCUGGCAAUAACCUCGGUCCAGGAUGAGCUCCCGGCCUAUCAGGUAGUUGGUGGGGUAACGGCUCCCCAAGCCGACGACGGGUAGCCGGGCUGGGAGGGUGACCGGCCACACUGGGACUGAGACACGGCCCAGAAUCCUACGGGAGGCAGCAGUGGGGAAUAUUGCACAAUGGGAGCAAGCCUGAUGCAGAAACGCCGCGUGAGGGACGACGGCCUUCGGGUUGUAAACCUCUUUUAGCAGGGAAGAAGCGAAAGUGACGGUACCUGCAGAAAAAGCACCGGCUAACUACGUGCCAGCCGCCGCAGUAACAC
rnacentral:rRNA from 1 species